UGCAAAUUGCAGAUCCAAGAAAAAUGGCAGACCGAAAGAGUUAGAUCCAACAGCAAAAUUGAUUUCAGAGAUCUUGCAGCAGCACCACCUACCGAGCAAUGAAGAAGCAAGCUACAUCAUCGUCAUCAUCAACAACCAAGCCCGCAAACACUGUUUUGCCAUAUCAAACCUCAAGACUCCGGGACCACUACCUGAUAGGCAAGAAACUGGGCCAAGGCCAAUUUGGCACUACAUAUCAAUGUACCAAUAAGGCCACAAACAAGCAAUAUGCUUGCAAAUCAAUCCCAAAGAGAAAGCUUCUUUGUAAAGAGGACUAUGAGGAUGUGUGGAGAGAGAUCCAGAUCAUGCACCAUCUCUCCGAGCACCCAAAUGUGGUGCAAAUCAAGGGGACCUAUGAGGAUUCCAUGUUUGUGCACUUAGUCAUGGAGUUGUGUGCAGGUGGUGAGCUUUUUGAUAGGAUUGUGGCAAAGGG
rnacentral:misc_RNA from 1 species